rnacentral:rRNA from 1 species
AUUGAACGCUGGCGGCAGGCUUAACACAUGCAAGUCGAGCGGGGGGAGGUAGCUUGCUACCGGACCUAGCGGCGGACGGGUGAGUAAUGCUUAGGAAUCUGCCUAUUAGUGGGGGACAACAUCUCGAAAGGGAUGCUAAUACCGCAUACGUCCUACGGGAGAAAGCAGGGGAUCUUCGGACCUUGCGCUAAUAGAUGAGCCUAAGUCGGAUUAGCUAGUUGGUGGGGUAAAGGCCUACCAAGGCGACGAUCUGUAGCGGGUCUGAGAGGAUGAUCCGCCACACUGGGACUGAGACACGGCCCAGACUCCUGCGGGAGGCAGCAGUGGGGAAUAUUGGACAAUGGGGGGAACCCUGAUCCAGCCAUGCCGCGUGUGUGAAGAAGGCCUUAUGGUUGUAAAGCACUUUAAGCGAGGAGGAGGCUACUCUAGUUAAUACCUAGGGAUAGUGGACGUUACUCGCAGAAUAAGCACCGGCUAACUCUGUGCCAGCAGCCGCCGUAA